UGCGCGGGCCGGGGCCUAUUUCUAUGCGGCCGAUCCGCUGCCGGCCCGUUCCAUUCGGGAACACUCGUGCUGGGAUGCGGCGGGAUCCUCGUCGGAGCGCUGUGCCAGGGACAGCUCCCGGUUCUGCGCGAAUCCUGGGGCGCUCAGGACACAGGAUAUACUGGGAUUGAGAGGGUUCCUAAAAUCCGACUCUCGAGGACACGGCCCGUGGGAGAAUUGAACUUACAACCUUGGCACUACCUGGACUGUGCUCCGACUGACUGAGCCCUCUGCAUCACGCUGCGAGGGGCAGGAGGAGGCCAGGAGUCCCCGAAAGGCGUCCGGCACCUCUUGUCCAUGGGCCCUCGGGGCAGGGGCUGUGCCUGCAGCGUCCUGCCCGUGCCGAGCGCACGGCCCGGGAUGGGCGCUGGGUGCCCGGCCGGCGCUGGCACGGACACGGCUCAAGGGCUGCCCGUGGCUCCCGGGCCAGGGGCUGCUCUGAGCAGGCUCCUGGAGACGCUUCAGCCUGGAUACAGGCCACUGACAGCCCAAAAGCAGCCCAAGGAGCAGCUGGCGUGUCCUGGUGAUGGUGGCACUGGCUGCGUGCAGAGGGGCUCAGACAGCAAUUCCUGGUUCCAGCCUCCCAGAGCUCCCAGGCAGCUGCCAGCUAUUAAAUGCCAACCGACAGCCUGCAGAGAUGCCUUCAAAUCAAAGGUUCAGGUGGGAUGAAGUUUUGUUUGGACAAAGGUGGGAGUUUCCAGGGAGCCAGCUGGAAGUGCAGAAGGGAUGGAAAGCUUUCCCAGGUGGGUCCCACUGGAGGUGUGCUGGAGGCAGGGAUGUGCACCCUUUGCUGAGGGAAAAGAACUUGCAGAGGCCACUGCUGAGGCCCUGAAAGGAGCUGAGCUGCUGCAGGGAGAGAUGUCCUCCCGUGGGCACGGGGAGCUGCCUUGGCACGGGACGGGAGCGCCCCCGGCCCUGCCUUCUCCUGCUUGAAAAUAUCACCUGGAGCCCCGGCUCAGGGGGGCUAAAUCAGCUGGACUCCGGGCAGCUCUGUCAGCUGCCCCCAGGGACAUGGGUGGGGCUGGGGGAUGAGGGCUUUAAAUAGCCAAUUCUUUGGAACAGAUGCCUGUCCCUGUCCCGAA